CCUACGGGUGGCAGCAGUGAGGAAUAUUGGUCAAUGGACGAGAGUCUGAACCAGCCAAGUCGCGUGAAGGAUGACUGUCCUAUGGAUUGUAAACUUCUUUUAUAUGGGAAUAAAAUGUUCCACGUGUGGGAUUUUGUAUGUACCAUAUGAAUAAGGAUCGGCUAACUCCGUGCCAGCAGCCGCGGUAAUACGGAGGAUCCGAGCGUUAUCCGGAUUUAUUGGGUUUAAAGGGAGCGUAGGUGGAUUGUUAAGUCAGUUGUGAAAGUCUGGGGCUCAACCGGAAAAGUGCAGUUGAAACUGGCAGUCUUGAGUGCAGUAGAGGUGGGCGGAAUUCGAGGUGUAGCGGUGAAAUGCGUAGAUAUCACGAAGAACUCCGAUUGCGAAGGCAGUUCACUGGACUGCAACUGACACUGAGGCUCGAAAGUGUGGGUAUCAAACAGGAUUAGAUACCCGGGUAGUC
rnacentral:rRNA from 1 species